UACGUAGGGGCUAGCGUUGUCCGGAAUCAUUGGGCGUAAAGCGCGUGUAGGCGGCCCGGUAAGUCCGCUGUGAAAGUCCAGGGCUCAACCCUGGGAUGCCGGUGGAUACUGUCGGGCUCGAGUCCGGAAGAGGCGAGUGGAAUUCCUGGUGUAGCGGUGAAAUGCGCAGAUAUCAGGAGGAACACCAAUGGCGAAGGCAGCUCGCUGGGACGUGAACUGACGCUGGAGACGCGAAAGCGUGGGGAGCAAACAGG
rnacentral:rRNA from 1 species